rnacentral:lncRNA from 1 species
UUAAUUAAACUGCAUGAGUCGAUCUAAGAUGAAAGAUGUUCCAAAUUAUUGGAUUUAUAUAAGAGGUCGAUGUUUGUAAGAUGUAAGUUGUUGAGUCCAUGUAUACGCAUUCAUGUUGGGGGCUUGAUGCCCUUGAGCCUUUGCUCAACUAAGUUGAGGGCUUGAUGCCCUGGAAGUAUAUUAAUACUUAAAUACUUUGGGGACUUGAUGCCCUUGUUGGUACCACAUGCAUGAUUAAGA